AAAAACAUCGCCUCUUGCACACAAUGAAUAAGAGGUCCCACCUGCCCUGUGACUACAAGUUUAACGGCCGCGGUAUUUUGACCGUGCGAAGGUAGCGUAAUCAUUUGUCUUUUAAAUGAAGACCUGUAUGAAUGGUGAGACGAGGGCUUGACUGUCUCCUUUCCCCAGUCAAUGAAAUUGAUCUCCCCGUGCAGAAGCGGGGAUUUUAACAUAAGACGAGAAGACCCUGUGGAGCUUUAGACACCCAGACAGACUAUGUCAAACACCCCUACACAAAGGUAAGAACAAAAUAUGCUACUGUCUCAAUGUCUUCGGUUGGGGCGACCAUGGGGAAAUAAAAAACCCCCAAGUGGAGUGAAAAAACGACCUUUUACAACUAUGAGCCCCCGCUCUAGCUAACAGAAUUUCUGACCAUUAAGAUCCGGCAAAGCCGAUCAACGGACCAAGUUACCCCAGGGAUAACAGCGCAAUCCCCUUCUAGAGACCCUAUCGCCAAGGGGGCUUACGACCUCGAUGUUGGAUCAGGACAUCCUAAUGGUGCAGCCGCUAUUAAGGGUUCGUUUGUUCAACGAUUAAAGUCCUACGUGAUCUG
rnacentral:rRNA from 1 species